rnacentral:rRNA from 1 species
CAGCCGCCACGGUAAUACGUAGGGUGCAAGCGUUAAUCGGAAUUACUGGGCGUAAAGCGUGCGCAGGCGGUUUGUUAAGACAGAUGUGAAAUCCCCGGGCUCAACCUGGGAACUGCAUUUGUGACUGGCAAGCUAGAGUAUGGCAGAGGGGGGUGGAAUUCCGCGUGUAGCAGUGAAAUGCGUAGAUAUGCGGAGGAACACCGAUGGCGAAGGCAGCCCCCUGGGCCAAUACUGACGCUCAUGCACGAAAGCGUGGGGAGCAAACGGGAUUAGAUACCCGGGUAGUCCCUGUCUCUUAUAC